CAGUCGCCGCGGUAAUACGUAGGGUGCGAGCGUUAAUCGGAAUUACUGGGCGUAAAGCGUGCGCAGGCGGUUUUGUAAGACAGAGGUGAAAUCCCCGGGCUCAACCUGGGAACUGCCUUUGUGACUGCAAGGCUAGAGUACGGCAGAGGGGGAUGGAAUUCCGCGUGUAGCAGUGAAAUGCGUAGAUAUGCGGAGGAACACCGAUGGCGAAGGCAAUCCCCUGGGCCUGUACUGACGCUCAUGCACGAAAGCGUGGGGAGCAAACAGGAUUAGAGACCCGCGUAGUCCCUGUCUCUUAUAC
rnacentral:rRNA from 1 species